CCCAAUUCAUUGAUUGGCUCUUUCUCUAUUUUAUUACAUAUUUAGAAAUAUAAAUUUUCCCCUAAGUAGGGACAAGAUUUUCUUGCAGUAGCUGAUGUUAGAACUGGAUCUUGAAAAAAGCUCAGAUUGUGAUUGAGAAUAAGGAUCCAAAAUCUCAGAAACGGAGGCCUGAAGAAGAUAAAUGAGUUCCCUAAUAUCAUGAUGGGGAAAGAAGGUAGAAAGAAACCAAGACACAUUCCAGAGGACCUCAAGAAAACUAGCUGAGCUCCAGGAAAGGAGACAAGAUCUUGAAAGAGAUAAUAAAGAAUUUGGACUUUUAACACCUGGCUAUUCUCAUGGUGGUUACUCAGCUAAAAUGAAGGCUAGUUCCAAGACUUCCAGAAAACCAACCAAAUCUGUCCACAUCCAGAGAAAAAAUAUUGAUGGAAUCUGAACACAGAUAGAAGCAUUCUAUUUUCACUUAAAAAAAAAAAAGUAUAGUUUGUUCCUUUUUUCUGUUUCUUGUUUUAUAGCAUGAUUACUAUAGAAGCAUAUUUUACAUGAUUGCACAUAUAUAAUAUAUAGCAAAUUGCUUAUUGUCAUAAAAAAAGGAGAGGAGGGGAAAAGAAAAAUUUGGAAAUAAAAAUCCUAUAAAAAUGAAUGUAAAAAA